rnacentral:rRNA from 1 species
GGGGCAAGCGUUGUUCGGAAUUACUGGGCGUAAAGGGCGUGUAGGCGGCCAACUAAGUCCGACGUGAAAUCCCCAGGCUUAACCUGGGAACUGCGUCGGAUACUGGAUGGCUUGAAUCCGGGAGAGGGAUGCGGAAUUCCAGGUGUAGCGGUGAAAUGCGUAGAUAUCUGGAGGAACACCGGUGGCGAAGGCGGCAUCCUGGACCGGCAUUGACGCUAAAGCGCGAAAGCCAGGGGAGCAAACGGG